UGAGAGUUCAAGAGGGCGUGAAACCGCUUAGAAGCAAACGGAUGGACCCGACAGUGAGUCGGUAGCAUUCAGCUCUUUGUCCCACCGUUGCCUGGGGUCAGACCGUGAAGGCUGUCUUUCGGUGCAUAUGUGGUCAAGGAGUGCAUUUGCUGCUGAUGCGCACUAGGACCUGUGAUGGUGCUGGAAGAACGCUAGUGAUUGCCAGCCAGCCGCCUUGUGUGGUUGGUGCUGUAUCUCUGGCUGUAACCGGGUUACUGUGACAGGGGAUAUGAUAGCUGGGCCCGCCUUUACUCGACUGUGGGGAAAGCCUUGUCAAAUGAAAUGUGAUUCCUUGCUCGCAAGACUUUGCGACGCCUGGCUCGGUGAUCUCUGCUGUUCGAGUUGGCCUAGAAUCCUGGUGUUUUUGUUGGUCACCCAUCCGACCCGUCUUGAAACACGGACCAAGGAGUCUAACAUGUGCGCGAGUCACUGGGUGGCAAAACCCAAAGGCGAAAUGAAAGUAAAGUCCAGUUCGGCUGGAUGACAUGGGACCCUCUGCCUUCGUGGGAGGGGAGCACCAUGGUCCCGUUCAUACUGCAUUGUCAGUGGAGCGGAGAUUGAGCGUACACGUUGGGACCCGAAAGAUGGUGAACUAUGCCUGAGCAGGAUGAAGCCAGAGGAAACUCUGGUGGAGGUCCAUAGCGAUUCUGACGUGCA
rnacentral:rRNA from 3 species